rnacentral:rRNA from 1 species
GAAGAUGCCGCCUACCCGCAGCAGGACGGAAAGACCCUAUGCACCUUUACUGUAAGCUGUUAUUGUCGCUUGACUUCCAAUACGUAGAAUAGGUGGGAGACUUCGAAGCCUGGUUUCAGGAUCAGGCCGAGUCACAACGUGAAAUACCACUUUUUAAUUGUUAGGCGUCUAACCUCAUACCAUUAUCUGGUUGUGGGACAGUGAUAGCAGGUCAGUUUUUCUGGGGCGGAAUCCUCCCAAAAAGUAACGGAGGAUUACGAAGGUUCCCUCGGCCCGGUCGGUAAUCGGGCUAUAGAGCGCAUGAGUAUAAGGGAGCUUUACUGUGAGACCAACAAGUCGAGCAGUUGCGAAAGCAGGUUCAAGUGAUCCGGUGGUUGAAUGUGGAAUCGCCAUCGCUCAUAGGACAAAAG